UACAGAGGGUGCAAGCGUUGCUCGGAAUCACUGGGCGUAAAGGGUGCGUAGGCGGGUCUUUAAGUCAGGGGUGAAAUCCUGGAGCUCAACUCCAGAACUGCCUUUGAUACUGAAGAUCUUGAGUCCGGGAGAGGUGAGUGGAACUGCGAGUGUAGAGGUGAAAUUCGUAGAUAUUCGCAAGAACACCAGUGGCGAAGGCGGCUCACUGGCCCGGUACUGACGCUGAGGCACGAAAGCGUGGGGAGCAAACAGG
rnacentral:rRNA from 1 species